GACGAGGGGCCCCGGCAAUGGAGGCCUGUGAACUUGGUCAGGGCUUAACCGCAGCAGCCAUAAGCAGUCACCUUCAUGUGCCUGGGGUCUCUCGCCGAU
rnacentral:SRP_RNA from 1 species